rnacentral:rRNA from 1 species
GAUGAACGCUAGCGGCAGGCUUAAUACAUGCAAGUCGAGGGGCAGCACAGGGUAGCAAUACUUGGGUGGCGACCGGCAAACGGGUGCGGAACACGUACAGAACCUUCCUUUGAGCGGGGAAUAGCCCAGAGAAAUUUGGAUUAAUACCCCAUAGUAUCUUUAGAUGGCAUCAUUUGAAUAUUAAAGAUUUAUCACUCGAAGAUGGCUGUGCGUAUGAUUAGGUAGUUGGCGGGGUAACGGCCCACCAAGCCUACGAUCAUUAACUGGUGUGAGAGCACGACCAGUCACACGGGCACUGAGACACGGGCCCGACUCCUACGGGAGGCAGCAGUAAGGAAUAUUGGUCAAUGGACGCAAGUCUGAACCAGCCAUGCCGCGUGGAGGAUGAAGGUCCUCUGGAUUGUAAACUUCUUUUAUCUGGGACGAAAAAAGGGAAUUCUUUCUCGUCUGACGGUACCAGAUGAAUAAGCACCGGCUAACUCCGUGCCAGCCGCCGCAGUAAUAC